rnacentral:tRNA from 1 species
UAAAAUCUUAUUUAAAAAUUUAAACUGCAAAUUUAAAAUAGAAAAAAUUUCUAAGAUU